GGAGAAGUGGUGGAAUGGCAGACACAGGAAUCGUAUGUCCGGACUCAUUAGUCGUAUAGGUUCAAAUCCUAUCUUCUCCA
rnacentral:tRNA from 1 species